GAGGGCUUGUGGAAGCUAAGCAGGAACCAACCCUGAGGAGUCAGGAGCAGAAGGGUGGCUGGACCCUAAUUCAGAUGCUUCUAGAAAGCAAGGCUUCCCUGGGGGUCAUCUUCAGUGACAAGACAAGGCAGUCACAUGGAACCUCUGUGCACGUCCACUCUGGCGAGAGGAAGGUGUCUAACGGAAGUCAAACAUGUCCGAUUGAUGCGCUAGCCUCCUGCACAGAGAGCAGAGCCUCUCUCUUCUGGUCCCAUAGCCCCUCUUCCUGUGGGGCGGUGGCUGAGUCCCUGGGCCUCCGGAUGCGCAAUGUUUCUCAUCUAUAAACUGAUGAAAAGGGCUACCCAGCCCUUUUCAGUCUACAGCAAGUCUGAGGAGCACAGUUUCACCCGUUCAUUCAUUCAUCCGACCAAUCCAUGGUGGAGCCUGCUGAGUACCAGCCCUGGAUCCCUUGUGAGGAAGGAGGUUGGGGGUCGGGGACUGCCAUCCGGGAACCAGGAACCCAGGAGGAAAUAGACCGACACACAAAAUGAACAAGCCACGGAACCAUUUCUCAAGGGACUCCUUCCUCCAUUCUUGGCUUCCAGCCUUUUUCCUUUCCUAAUACUAAAAUUCUUUUCUGAAACACAAAGCUGGACAUCACUGCCUUGCUCAGAAACUGGCUCCCUGUUCAAUAUAAUAAAGUCCAGUUUCUCUGUCCUGGACGUUUCUCUAUUCCGGCCGCUCCAUCAAGCUGCUUCCGGUGUUUUGAACUCAUAGCAGGUGGCCUUGGCUGGGCAUCAGGUGCACUGCCAAGUGCUUUAUCUGUUCAUCUUUGCCACAGGCCAAGAGCUCCUAUCACUACCCUCUGCUUAUCGACGGGGAAACCAAGGCAGGGAGGAGCCAAGGAACUGGCCUGAGGCUGCACAGCUUGUAAAGAGCAGGUCCCUGGAGCUCAGACCCAGGUCCCACUUACGGCAGAGCCUGUGUCCUUGGCUUCUGUGCCACGCUGCCACCUAGCUUCAGGCUUCUGCACCUCUGCUCACAUCAGGUGUGGGGGCCGUCUGGUGAAAUCUCAUCAGUUACUCACGAGGCAGCUCAGAGGUCCUGAGCACCAGACUGCCCCUCACAUCCAUGGCCCUGCUCUGCCACCCCCAGCCCUCGAAGGGCCCCUGCCUAGGUCAAGCCUUAUCACGUGUGGCGGAGUUCAUACUCAUUUGCCUCCCUGAACACGUGACCAGGAUCUCAUCCACACCUGUUGCGGCCUGAGCUAAACACAGGUUUGCUGAAUGGCAGGAAAUGAACAGCGCAGGAGAGAGUGCCCUGCACGCUGGAAAGCCUCAGAGAAUCAGAAGUCAACAGAUGCUUUUAAAAUGCCUUUAUAAAAUGCAAACGGAUAUAGGAGAUGAAAUGUGCCUGAGCAUUUUUUGGUCUUGAUUUUAGUAUUACAAUUCAGGAUGGCUUCUGCCAUUUUAACCAGGGUUCACUAUCUGGGGAAGUGCUUAUGUUACUUACUGAGAAAGAGACUUGAAACUGUCCUGACACAGACUUUGCACAAAGGCAACCUUGAGGGACUUCCACGGUGGUCCACUGGCCGGGACUCUGUGUUGCCAAUGCAGGGGACCCAGGUUCAAUCCCUGGUCAGGGAACUAGGUCCCACAUGCUGCAACUAAGACCCGGUGCAGCAAAAUAGUUUUUUUUUUUUUUUUUAAGGCAACCUUGACUCUCCUGACAGAGCUCCAAGUAGCUUCAGUGCAGUGACUUGGACUGGGAGAAAAGUUUUUUAUUUAUCCUUUAUGUCACCAGGAAAUGGGUAGGACCCUGGUCUCGGAUUCAUGCACUUGGUUCUGCCUGGGGCUCUGCCCCUCACCGACUGUUCCUUAUUAAACUUCUCAGUGGAACAAGGGAGUUCCCCAAAUGAUUUCUGGGAUUCCUUUAAAUCCCAGGGUUCUUAGAUUCAGAUCUUGGCUCUGCAGCCUCAUUGCGUAGAGUCAUUUAAUUGAUUUUAGAAAGCGGUUUCCUUGGCUAUAAAUUGGAGCUGGCCUAAAUUAUCAGAAGUCUGUGGGCACUGUGAAGAAAUAUGAAUAUAAAUUGCCCUUGCAAUUAAAAAUCUAACAAAUGGGAACUUCCUGGUGGUCUAGUGGCUAAGACUUCGCAUUCCCGAUGCCAGGUGGGCCCAACUUUGAUUCCUGGUCAGGGAACUGGCUCCCACAUCCUGCAACUAAGGGUUCACACUCCACAACUAAAGAUCCCCGCAUGCCACAACUGAGACCAGUGCAGCCAAAGAAAUAAAU
ensembl:lncRNA